UACGGAGGGGGCUAGCGUUGUUCGGAAUUACUGGGCGUAAAGGGCGCGUAGGCGGCUUGUCUAGUCAGGCGUGAAAGCCCUGGGCUCAACCCGGGAACUGCGCUUGAUACUGGCUGGCUUGAGGCCGGGAGAGGGUAGUGGAAUUCCCAGUGUAGAGGUGAAAUUCGUAGAUAUUGGGAAGAACACCGGUGGCGAAGGCGGCUACCUGGCCCGGUUCUGACGCUGAGGCGCGAAAGCGUGGGGAGCAAACAGG
rnacentral:misc_RNA from 1 species